AGAAUCAACGCUGGCGGCGUGCCUAACACAUGCAAGUCGAACGAGAAAGUGGAGCAAUCCAUGAGUAAAGUGGCGCACGGGUGAGUAACACGUGACUAACCUACCCUUGAGUGGGGAUAAACCUAGGGAAACCUGGGCUAAUACCGCAUAAUACCUUCGGGUCAAAGGAGCAAUUCGCUUAAGGAGGGGGUCGCGGCCGAUUAGUUAGUUGGCGGGGUAAUGGCCCACCAAGACUGUGAUCGGUA
rnacentral:rRNA from 1 species